rnacentral:lncRNA from 1 species
ACAGCUCAGGCCGUGUCCGUGGGGCGCUGCCCCCAUUGUCGGCCAUGGGGCAGCGAGUGGAGCUGAGACGUCUGCCCGUGGGGGACUUCAUGUGGGUGGCCAGGGAGAAGGACCACCCAGAAGGCCGCCCCCCCCACGAGCUGGUGCUGGACGUGGUGGUGGAGAGGAAAACGGCGGCGGAUCUUUGUCAGAGCCUCGUUGAUGGGAGUGGCGUUUGAGGCGCUGUGGGCUGACGCUGCCCGUGUUCCUGCUGGAGGGGCUGGGGGGGGCCCAGCAGCUGCCCCUCCCCCUCACCACGCUGCGCCAGGCGGC